GGUCAGUAGGUUGGUCGUGCCACCGGUACGUACUGGUCUCACUGAUUCCUCCUUCCUGAAGAACCGUAAUGCCACUAAUUUGGUGUUGCGGGGAAACAGGACUGUUACUUUGAAAAAAUUAGAGUGUUUAAAGCAAGCUAACGCUUGAAUACAUUAGCAUGGAAUAAUGAAAUAGGACGAUCGAUCCUAUUUUGUUGGUUUCUAGGAUUGACGUA
rnacentral:rRNA from 1 species